rnacentral:rRNA from 1 species
UACAGAGGUCCCAAGCGUUAAUCGGAAUUACUGGGCGUAAAGCGUGCGCAGGCGGUUUUGUAAGUUUGUCGUGAAAUCCCCGGGCUCAACCUGGGGAUGGCGAUGAAGACUGCAAGGCUAGAGUUUGGCAGAGGGGGGUAGAAUUCCACGUGUAGCAGUGAAAUGCGUAGAGAUGUGGAGGAACACCGAUGGCGAAGGCAGCCCCCUGGGUCAAGACUGACGCUCAUGCACGAAAGCGUGGGGAGCAAACAGG